UACGUAGGGCGCAAGCGUUAUCCGGAAUUAUUGGGCGUAAAGAGCUCGUAGGCGGUUUGUCGCGUCUGCCGUGAAAGUCCGGGGCUCAACCCCGGAUCUGCGGUGGGUACGGGCAGACUUGAGUGCAGUAGGGGAGACUGGAAUUCCUGGUGUAGCGGUGAAAUGCGCAGAUAUCAGGAGGAACACCAACGGCGAAGGCAGCUCGCUGGGACGGUACUGACGCUGAGGCGCGAAAGCGUGGGGAGCAAACAGG
rnacentral:rRNA from 1 species